AUCUGAAAGGCUCAUCUAAGACAGGUGGUGCUCCAGCUGCUAAGAGCUUGUAAAAACAACAGGACCAUCAGAAAUGGUCAGCUUCAGACGCAGCAGGAGUUGGAGCCUAACCCGCAUCCAUCGCAGGCGUCGACGCAGGAAGGGGCGUGGGGGCAAAUCUGGAAGGAGGCGUGGAAGACGACGUGGCAGAAGGAGAGGACGUAAAUCAUCCGGGCGCAGAAGAGGGAGGAGAAGGAGGAAGCACUAAGAUUUCUCUCCUCAUCGCGGCCUUCACGGUGCUUCAGUUUCUGCCAAAGGGAAAAAAAUCAAGCCUCUUUCUUUCACUGAAACACGCUGCAAAAGAAUUUCCAAGGACCAGAUAGCCUGAAACAAUUUGGAACAUACCACCUGUCAAUAAAGGCUAACAUUUCA